UACAGAGAGUGCAAGCGUUAUUCGGAAUUACUGGGCGUAAAGCGCGCGUAGGCGGAUACUUAAGUCGGGUGUGAAAUCCCCAAGCUUAACUUGGGAAUUGCAUUCGAUACUGGGUAUCUAGAGUAUGGUAGAGGGAAGUGGAAUUUCCGGUGUAGCGGUGAAAUGCGUAGAUAUCGGAAGGAACACCAGUGGCGAAGGCGACUUCCUGGACCAAUACUGACGCUCAGGUGCGAAAGCGUGGGGAGCAAACAGG
rnacentral:rRNA from 1 species